GUCUUCGGGGUGUAGUGGUCAGCACGCUCGACGCGUAACCGAGAGGUCCAUGGUUCGAUUCCCGGCGAAGGCA
rnacentral:tRNA from 1 species